rnacentral:lncRNA from 1 species
AAAUUCAAAGUUCUUAAAUAUUUAGACAUUUAUAAUUAAUUUUUUUGAUUAACUCAUAUAAUCCAUGAGUCUUAUAGUUUACAAAAUAUUUAUCAAAUAAAGAUAUACUUGCAUGCUGUAAGAUAAUUUUUUUUACUAAUUUACCACCCCGGCCUUUCUAACAAUAAUUUGUAUUAUAUAAAAGACAAUGUUUUCUAAAUAAAUAAAAGAUAUUAGUUUAUUUUAUAUAUAGACAACCACAUAUCAUUUCCAUAUAUAACAUGAUGGUUGUUCAGAUCCGUGAUUAUUUAAUUUAAACUAUUAAAUAUGUAUUUUAUGAGUCGGUGAUUUCUAACACUAUUAAAAAAAGGGACAUUGUAACGAAACUAAAAGGCCGAGUUUCCUGUAAGCAGCUGACUGAAGCCAGACAGUCAAGCCAAGCUGAUUCUCCCCGCUCUCGACCAAAAUCUAUUACUAUUUUCAUCAUCACCGACACCCUCCCCCUCUCUUUUCUUAACAAAUCAAUACAAAUGAUUAAUAUGCAGUAAUCAUCGAAAGUGAGAUCAAGAAUGGGCCCUUUUCUUCUCACGCCAAUGCCCAUCAAACUUCAUUGAUUAUCAAGUUCCUUCAAAUUCAAAUCAAGAACGAAAAAAUCAAUUUCUAUCAUCUGGGGCUCUUCUUUAGUCCCCUGUUUCUACUUUAAUUGGAAUACAUGGAGGCAAAUGCAGGAUUAGUUGCCGGAUCUCAUAAGAGGAACGAGUUGGUGAGAAUAAGACAUGAUUCCGAUGGAGGGGUAUGUGUUCUUUCGAUUUUUCUUGAAUACCCUUUUGGAUUUUGAGUGUUCAGAAAUCAAUUUUAUCGACUCUUGUAUAGAUCUAAGUGAUUUAACAGUAGGCUAUUUUGUUUAACCCAAGUUUGUUUAUUUUGUUUGGAUCUGAGUGAUCAGUGUGACCAGUGAGCUCAGUAAUGAGUGAUGAUACGACUUUUGACUUAUUAAUCCUACCUUUUUGUUAAAUCUUCAAAGAGGGUUUUUUGUUAAAUUUGUGGAUUUAGAUCUGAAUCAUCGAGAUGAAAGUUUCUGUUUUCAGCGCCCAUCUUGAUUAAUUUGACAAAAUUUUCAGCUUUAGCACAUGAUGAUUUCUUAAAUUAUUUAAUUUUGAUUGUGACGUUGAGUGUUGAUGAUGCAGCCGAAGCCUUUAAAGAAUAUGAAUGGACAGAUAUGUCAAAUCUGUGGCGACACCGUCGGCCUGACUGAAAACGGCGACGUUUUUGUUGCUUGCAACGAGUGCGCAUUCCCGGUUUGUAGACCCUGCUACGAGUACGAAAGAAGAGACGGAAAUCAAGCAUGCCCUCAAUGCAAAACUCGAUACAAAAGACACAAAGGUUAGUUUUUGAGUUUUUGUUCGUAUCAAGAACACAUCAAACAUAUGAUUUUUGUAAGAAUUAAAGAGAGAUACAAAUGUUUUUAGGGAGUCCCCGAGUUGACGGUGAUGAUGACGAGGACGAUGUUGAUGACCUGGAAAACGAGUUUGAUUAUGCACAAGGGAGACGACAAUGGCAAGGAGAAGAUCCGGAUCUUUCUUCAUCUUCUAGAAGACAUGAAUCACAGCAACCAGUUCCCCUUCUCACUAAUGGCCAACAAGUAAGAAAAUUACUUAUAUACCCUUUUGUUCUAAGCAUUACCUUUUUAACUAAAUUCAGAGUGUUAUUUUCAGGUAUCUGGUGAAAUCCCAAUUGCCACACCGGACAAUCUAUCUGUAAGAAGUACAUCGGGUCCAUUAGGCCCUGGUGACAAGCCUGUCCGCUAUAUGGAUCCAAGACAACCAGGUUACUUUCUUUUUUUUUUUUUUUUUUUUUAAAAAAAAAGUAUUAUUAUUAAUCAGAUAAUGUUGUAGUAAUUAUGCUAAUGAUGCCCUUUUAAUAAAUAGUUCCUGUAAGAAUUGUGGACCCAUCAAAGGAUUUAAAUUCAUAUGGGCUUGGGAAUGUGGACUGGAAGGAAAGGGUAGAAGGCUGGAAACUAAAACAAGACAAAAACAUAAUGCAAAUGGCAAACAGAUACAAUGGCGGUGAAGGGAGAGGAGGUGAGAUUGAAGGCACGGGAUCAAAUGGAGAAGAAUUGCAACUGUAAGUAGUAAACUAAAGGGUACUUUAGGAAUAUCAUAUUUGUCGACUUAUGAUUUGACUUUUUUUUUUUUUUUUUUUUUUUUUUUUUUUUANUUUGUUUUGUUUUUUUUUUUUUUUUUUUUUUUUUUUUUUUUUUUUUUUUUAAAUAUAUAUAGGGUUGAUGAUCCAAGACAAUUAAUGAGCCGUGUGGUGCCUAUUUCAUCUUCUCAUUUGACUCCAUAUCGAGUUGUGAUUAUAUUGCGAUUGAUUAUUUUGGGAUUUUUCUUGCAAUAUCGGUUGACUCAUCCUGUUAAUGAUGCGUAUCCUUUGUGGCUUGUAUCUGUUAUUUGUGAGGUGUGGUUUGCUUUUUCUUGGCUUCUUGAUCAAUUUCCAAAAUGGUCCCCCGUUGAACGUGAGACCUUCCUUGAUCGCCUUGCAUUGAGGUAAGUAAGUAAUGGGAUUUAGAUUUUGGGCUAAUUGCAAGAAAUAGCAAUGUACUUUCAUUUGUAGUCAUCAUCAUGGGCAAUUAGGUAAUUUUAGCUUAAACAAUGAAAAUUUGUUGUUUUGUAGGUUUGAUAGGGAAGGAGAGCCUUCACAAUUGGCACCUAUAGAUGUCUUUGUGAGUACAGUGGAUCCAUUAAAAGAGCCUCCUCUCAUCACUGCAAACACAGUGUUGUCUAUUCUUGCUGUGGAGUAUCCUGUUGACAAAGUCUCCUGCUAUGUAUCUGAUGAUGGAUCUGCUAUGCUUACAUUUGAGUCUCUUUCUGAGACAGCAGAGUUUGCAAAAAAGUGGGUCCCAUUCUGCAAGAAGCAUAGCAUCGAGCCCAGAGCCCCUGAGUUUUAUUUUGCUCAAAAGAUAGAUUACUUGAAGGACAAGAUCCAGCCUUCUUUCGUCAAAGAACGUAGAGCAAUGAAGGUGAGUUUUACCACUUUUAUGUUUUAUGUUUUAUGAUUUCUUCCAGUGUUUUACCAAAUACCUAAAACACCCUUUUAUGGCAGAGAGAAUACGAAGAAUUCAAAGUUCGGGUCAAUGCACUUGUAGCAAAAGCACAAAAGAUGCCGGAAGAAGGCUGGUCUAUGCAGGAUGGAACUCCUUGGCCUGGAAACAACCCCCGUGAUCAUCCUGGAAUGAUUCAGGUAUUUGAAUGAUUGUUUGGUUGCUGAAAAUUUGUAUAUCAACAGUUGAUUGUUGACUUCUCUUGUUUAUGAUGAUUGGAAUUGGAUAGGUGUUCUUGGGGCACAGUGGAGGUUGCGAUACAGAUGGAAAUGAGCUACCUCGUCUUGUUUACGUGUCCCGUGAAAAACGUCCUGGGUUUCAACAUCACAAGAAAGCCGGUGCCAUGAAUGCUUUGGUAUGGAUCUCUUAAAAAAACAUGGAAAUUUUUUGUGUUUAUUGGUUGUUUAUGGAUGCGAUGCAAUUUGGUGUUACAGAUUAGGGUUUCGGCGGUUUUGACGAAUGGCGCGUACCUUUUGAACGUCGAUUGUGAUCACUACUUCAACAACAGCAAAGCUCUAAAAGAAGCCAUGUGUUUCAUGAUGGAUCCUGCCUAUGGAAAGAAGACAUGCUAUGUUCAAUUCCCACAGAGAUUCGACGGGAUUGAUUUACACGAUCGAUAUGCUAAUCGCAAUAUCGUCUUCUUCGAUGUGCUUUUCUGAACUUUACAGAGUCAAACUUAAAAAAAAAAAUUCAAAUUCAAAUUCCGAUCUUGUUGGGAUUUCAAAAAUCAAAAAUUGACAUUUCUAUAUAUAUAUAUUUUGUACAGAUUAACUUGAAAGGGCUGGAUGGGAUUCAGGGGCCGGUUUACGUGGGAACUGGUUGCUGUUUCAAUCGACGAGCUCUGUAUGGAUACGACCCUGUUUUAACAGAGGCUGAUUUAGAACCAAAUAUCAUUGUGAAAAGCUGUUGUGGUUCACGAAAGAAGUCGAGAAACGUUAACAAGAAGUACGUGGAUAAAAAAGCAGUGAUGAAAAGAACGGAAUCCAACACUCCAAUUUUAAACAUGGAUGAUAUCGAUGAGGGUGUUGAAGGUUUGAUUUUGAGUCUUUCACUUUAGUUUGUGGGUCCAGUGAAUCAUUAAUGUUGACUAAAUUCUUUUGUUUUUGAAAGGGUAUGAUGAAGAUAGAUCGUUACUAAUAUCGCAAAAGAGCUUAGAGAAGCGAUUUGGUCAAUCUCCUGUAUUUGUUGCUGCAACUUUCAUGGAGAUGGGAGGAAUUCCCCCCACUACCAAUCCAGCUACCCUUUUGAAGGAAGCAAUACAUGUUAUUAGCUGUGGUUAUGAGGAUAAAACCGAGUGGGGUAAAGAGGUAAUUUUACCCUUCUAGCUUCCGAUUCUUGUUAUACAUGGUCAUCGGAAAAACAAUAAUCUUCAUGUUAUUUUGUUUUGUGUACAAAUGCAAGCAGAUUGGAUGGAUUUAUGGGUCUGUGACAGAAGAUAUUUUAACUGGAUUCAAGAUGCACACAAGAGGAUGGAUCUCAAUAUAUUGCAUGCCACAACGUCCGGCUUUCAAGGGUUCUGCUCCGAUCAAUCUUUCCGAUCGUCUGAACCAGGUCCUCCGGUGGGCUUUAGGUUCAAUCGAGAUUUUACUCAGUAGACAUUGCCCCAUCUGGUAUGGGUAUAAUGGUAAAUUAAAACUCCUGGAGAGGCUCGCAUACAUAAACACCAUCGUCUAUCCCCUCACCUCCAUCCCUCUUCUAGCCUACUGUGUACUUCCGGCCGUCUGCCUUCUCACCGGAAAAUUCAUCAUCCCCGAGGUACGUUAAUCAUGCUUUAUGAGUUGUACGAUAUGCAUGAAUGUUUGUACAUGUUGAAAAUUGGGGGUUUUGCAACAGAUAAGCAACUAUGCUAGUAUGUGGUUUAUUCUUCUCUUUAUCUCCAUCGCUGCAACCGGAAUCUUGGAGCUCCGGUGGAGUGGCGUGAGUAUUGAAGACUGGUGGAGAAACGAACAGUUUUGGGUGAUAGGAGGCACGUCCGCUCAUCUAUUCGCCGUCUUCCAAGGUCUUCUCAAAGUUCUCGCCGGAAUCGACACCAAUUUCACCGUCACAUCCAAGGCAAACGACGAAGACGGUGAUUUUGCAGAACUCUAUAUAUUCAAAUGGACGGCGCUCCUCAUCCCACCCACCAGUGUUCUGAUCGUAAACCUAAUCGGCAUAGUUUCCGGCGUUUCAUCUGCAAUCAACAGCGGUUACCAGUCGUGGGGCCCACUUUUUGGGAAACUGUUUUUUGCAAUCUGGGUUAUCGUCCAUUUAUACCCGUUUCUCAAAGGUCUGUUGGGUCGGCAAAAUCGAACCCCCACCAUUGUUAUCGUGUGGUCGAUUCUGCUUGCUUCGAUUUUCUCCCUUUUGUGGGUUCGUAUCGACCCCUUUACCACAGACGAUACUCUUGAUGCAGUUAAAGGACAAUGCGGGAUCGAUUGUUAGGUAUAUAUAUAUAAAGUUUCUGAUUUGCAAAUUUGUGUAAGCCGUGAUGUGAUGCGAUGUGAUGUGUACGAAUGAUAUAAUUAUUUGAUUUAUUGUUGUUAUCCCACGAAUUCAAUGAAAAAUUUAAGUAUAACCUUAUCUUAAUAUGUCGGUUCAUUACAUUCAAUUAAGUUGAGUUGUAUGCAAAUUUCUUGUUAUUAUACAGUAUAUUACAAAAUUCAAACACUAUCUUCUUCAUAUUUAAUUUCAUGAAUUUAGUCUUCAACAAGUACAUAUAUAUAAAACAAAACAUGAAAUUCCAUACACACCAAGGUUCAUGUCAGAUCCUGAAACAAAAGAUUAAAGAAAAUAAAGUUAGAUGGUUGUAAAUUGUAACCUAAUGAAAUAUAAGAAAAGUUGGGGUUUUACUUACUCAAUAUAUUCAACGUUGAUUUUCUCCCUUUGAGACUUGGAAAUGGCAGAAAAAGCAUCAUUUGACAAAACAAUAGUCGAAGGACACGGCCUUUUGGAACAAAAAUCUACCACCUUAACAUCAAUGGUACCAUCUCUACAUGGUUUAUUAUUUCCACUCAAACACUUGAGUCUGUAUCGCCUACCACAUGCUGCACCGUUAUCCCAUAGUCCUUCGCUCACUGACACAAAUAAGUUCCCCAAUGGGAAUUGAUCUGCUCGGUUGCCAUUGCACCUUGUGGCUACAUUAAAAAUACAUAUAAAAAAAAAUACUUCAAUUUAACUAUUAUUUAUUUAUUUAUUUACAAUGUCAAAAACAUAAUAAUUAGAAUCAUAUUUAAACUUACGUGUAUAAGGAGGCUCAUAGGAUGAGGCAGUGCCAAUUUCACUCAAACCACACUUGAUGUUAUUGAAGAUUAACAAUAAAAAUAAAUUCACAAUCACUCCAAUUCCCAUCGCUACAAAUUCCCUUUUCUUUUUUCUCUCUCUCUGUCAAAUACUAUGGUAGUAAGAUGCACCCCCUUGGAUUAUAUAUAGAUAUCGUAUGGAUUUAUUUAAAAGAUAUAGGUAUAGUUUGAGAUAUAUUGUCACGUGUUUUUUAAUAGAAAUGUGCUUAGCAUGUAUAUAGAAUGAAUGAAAAGUUGGUGAUCAAAUUGGAUAAACUAUAGAUGUUUAAUGUGAUAUAUAUCUACCUUUGCGCAUGAAAAAUGGAUUUAAUAGGUUUUGGUCAAUUGUGAUAUAAAGUUCUUGAUGCCUACCACUAAUUAGUUUAAGGAAAGAUGGUUUCUAACGUAAACAUAAAACAACUUUUCUAUCGUCUCUUUUAAACAGAAAAAAUAGUCAAUUUUGACAAUGGCACAAAAAGGCAAUGGAAAAGCAUAUGUAAGGAUUAUUAGAUAAAACGAUAGUGUUUUAAUGGAGAAAAAUUAUAUUUUCGGUGAAUUUUUUUUAGUUGAUAAACCCAUUGUUGGUGUCGAAUCUAUGAAAUUAUUUUGGCUUAUACGUCGGCUGACCGAUAUGAUUACCAAAGAAAGGUGCAUCCAGUACAAUCACCACUAACUAAAACCAAUGGCUCUAAACUGUUCGCAAUUUUUUAAGGAAGGGAAAUUCAUAUUUGAAUUCGUCACUACAAAGUGUUACAUGAUUCGUUAUUAAUAAAUAUUUUAUAUUACCUUUUAUCAUAUAAAUAAACAAUCCAAAUUUUAUUUUUAGAUGCAUAUUUCACAAAGCUUUUGUGUUUUUUUCGGUUCAAGUUUGUGUUAAAGUAAUUCAAUAUAGAUGGAGAAUGUCGUUCAAUAAAAGUAGUUUGUGUUAAAGUAAUUCUAUACAGAUGGAAAAUGAUGUUCAAUAAAAGUUUAGAAUAUCAGAUAAUCAAAAUUAGUUUGUCGAUAAGAUUUAUUAUUUUAAAAGAUGGGAUAUAUAUACUAAACUCUCAAUAUUUUUAACGAUUCAACAAAAAAGUCUUAAAUUUUAUUUUUUUAGAGUAAAAUCCUAACUAGCGGCAGUUUUUGACAUGUUUACCAUUUUUUGCCAGUUAGCCAGUAAUUAUGGUUUUACUAUAAAAAAAUAAAAUUUAUGACUUUCUUUUUCAAAUCGUGAAUUAAGACAUUACUGUAAAAAAAAAUUAAAGUUUAGGACUUUCUUAUCAAAUCGUUAAAAAUAUAGGGACUUUAGUGUAUAUAUCCAUUUUUUUGUUAGAAAUUUAAUGUCAUUAUAAUCUUUAAGUAUAAGAGUUAUUGAAAUCUGACCAAUAUGCUCUGGUCAACUAGAUUCUAUUAAAAUCAUUAACGUUUGAUUCUUGUUAAAUAGUUUUUUUUUAAUCUCAACAAAUCGACAUUGAAAAAAAUAAAGAUAAUCAAGAAAGAAAGAACCACGAUUGUGUUGAAUUUUUGCAUAAUGAUAAUCAAGAAAGAAAGAACCAGUAUCGUGUUGAGUUUUUUGCAAUCCUAAAAAUGGAGAAUUAAGAAACCGGAAAAGAAGAAAUUGUCCUUCUUACACAUUCUCCACAUUCACACAUUUUUUACCGGACAUGUGUUGUUUGUGUUUGUUGAAUUUGUUCCUCUUUUCAGUUCAAGAUUUGACGGCGAACCAAGAAAAAAGUUUUACAAGUCUUCUUACCCUCUAUCGUUCUCUCUUUUGCAUCAGUUUCCCAGAUUGUGAUCGUAGCAAAGUAAGAUGAUGAUGGUAAGAAAAAACAAUGGUGUUGCAAUAAAAAUCACAAUUAAAAGUUCUUGGGAUAGGAAUUAGGUCUCAUGAGACUGAUAAAAUUAUUUGUUUCUAGGGAAACCAAACCUAUACACUAAAGUCUCAAUAUUUUUAACGAUUUAACAAAAAAGUCAUAAACUUUAUUUUUUUGACAGUAAAACCCUAAUUACCGGCUAACCGGCAAAAAAGAGUAAAUGUUUCAAAAACUGUCGAUAAUUAGGAUUUUACUGUCAAUUGAUUUUAAUAUUUUCAUGCAAAAGACAACUGUAUUACGAAAGAAAUAACUGUUAACCGUAACUACAAUAAGGUAUUAAAGUUAUAGAAGUUUCAAUCCUAAUAACGCAUAAUUUUCACUUUUGGUUUAAUAUGUUUAUAUUAUUUAUCUAAAAAACAAAAUCAUAAUAAAUAUAUUUUGAUUAAAUGUCACAGAAAAACCACGCCCAUGUCAAUUUUGAUUGUUACAAAAUGACAAUUUUUUUGAAAAGAGAUAUCAUACCGUAUUAAUAAGGUGGUGUUUGUUUUUUUUUCAAAAGCUCUUCUAGACCUUUUAUGUCUGCAUCGCGUAGACGACCCACAAACUUUUAGUCCUAUAGACUGUUUGUUUUUUAGAAGACCGUACGCAUAAAAAAAUCUGUCCAUCCUCUUCUUGACGUAGAUGUGAACAUAUGUCUUCUAGUCUCUUUCUUAAUCUUUCCACUAAUCUUAAGAGACAAUAAAAAAGCGCAAAAAGAAUAAAAAAAUGAAAAAAAAAACCUAUCAAACCUCAUUCGUGCACCUUUUUUUUUAAUUCAUUUGCCAUGUAAACACUUUGUAAAUAUAUUAUUUUAAUGAUUUUAGCUUUAUAAACUUUAUUUGGUCAAAUAAUUUUUUGGUAUUCAUAUUUUAAAAAACUUUAUGCAUAUUUAUCCGAUGACUUUUUAUAACAGUAAUUAAAAAAGUUAAAUAUACUACAAAACUUAUGAAAGUAUUUUACGAACGUGUUUUUUUUCUUCAUAAAAUGGACAAUUAAUUUGUUAUAUAUAUAUAUAUAUGCUUAUUAUAUGAUAACUAGGCUCGUGCGUGUGAACAAGUCUCCGUUUGCCACCUAGCACGGUAUCUNNNNNNNNNNNNNNNNNNNNNNNNNNNNNNNNNNNNNNNNNNNNNNNNNNNNNNNNNNNNNNNNNNNNNNNNNNNNNNNNNNNNNNNNNNNNNNNNNNNNNNNNNNNNNNNNNNNNAUAUAUAUAUAUAUAUUGAAAAUAAGGUGGUUGUAUUAUUAAAUUACAAUGUUUUUAUAUAAGAAAUAUUGAAAAAGUCUUUUAAAUUAAAAAAAAAAUCAAUUUAUUUAGGUUUUAAUUUAUUUUAGCAGUUUGUAGAUUUUAAAAAACAAACAGUCUUCUUGCAGACUGCAGACGUUUGGUCCAUAUCUUCUACUGCAGAUGUCGUCCGCAGACUGCAGACAUUUUGCUUCUGAAAAACAAACACCAUCUAAGUUUCAAACGCAUAAACAUUUAUUAACAAAAGACAUGUAAACGUGGAUUAUGAACUAAUGACAUAGAUAUACGAUAAGUACUAUAAAGAGGAAAAAGCAUAGUUAAGAUUGACCCAAAUUGUAAUGAUUAUAGUCUUGCUAAUGUAAAUAUUUAAUUAGUUUUUCUUGAUAAUCAUGAUAAAUGAUACUUUUUGACUCAUGAGUGAUGAAUAAACAAUAGUAUAUAUAGAUUUACUAAGACGAAAAAAGACAUGAGUUUUAAUGAUAGAAUAUUAUUGAAAAAAUAAUAAAGAAUAUGAUCAACUUUAAAUUAGUGCCCGGAUAAAAUCGAAGUUUUAGAAAGUGCUGAUUAGUGGCGAUCCUUCAUUUUUUUAUAACUUUAUUUCAAAUUAAUGGUAAUCAUGUAUAAUAAUUAAUAAACUUACAAUACGCUAAUAUACAUUACAAUCAUUUUCAUCCUAUGUGAAAAUAAUUUUUGACAUAUUAUUCGUUUUCAAAUUAUAUAGAUGCAUAGGCAAUAAUAUGUCUUUUAUGUGAAAUAAUGUGUGUUUUUUUUAUGUGAAAACAUGUUUUUUAUAUAUAAAAAUAUAUUUUCACAUAAAAAAAACCUGUUAUGCAAAAAACCUUUUGGACCAAAUUUAUAUAGAAACAUAUUUUUCACAUAUAAAAACCUUUUUAUAACAAAAAUGUUUUGUAAAAAAGGUUUUUAGUAUAAAUAUGAUUUUAUAAAGCAAAAAUAACAUAUUUCGAAACAAAAUUUUGGAAAAAUAUAUGUAAAAAAAACAAAAUUUAAGAUGAAAUUGUAACAAAAUUUUAAAAUAGGGACAAAAAUAUAAAAAUUGGACCAAAUUUAUAACAAAAUUUAAAAUCUGAGAAAAAAAUGUAAAUUUUAAAACUGGGAUGACCUUAUAGCCGGGAAAAAUGAUGAAAAUGAAUAUAUUUACCUGUAUUCGUAUCUUAAUUAAAAAAAUAAUAAUUUAAAUACUUAAUUGAAUAUAAGGUUAAAAAUAUAAACACUUUAUAGAUUUUCCUAUACUAAAUACUAUAGCAAAAUAUGUGGAAUUUGGUAUUUAGUAACUUUGGUCUCACUUUUGUUAAAUUUCUAUUUUCUAUCAUUUUACUUUUUGAAAAUUCGUUUUUACCUCUCGAUUUUUCUACUUAUUAACUUUGGUCCAUCACUUUUGUUAAGUUCUCAAAUUUUCAUCCUUUUUACUUUUGAAAUUGUUGCUUUUACCCCCUUUAACUUUCAACUUUCUAGAUACUCAACUCACUCAGCAUGAAGUAUAAGAAAAAAGAGAAGAGAGAGAGAGAGAGAGAGAGAGGAAGCAGCGGGCUGAAGAACCCACAUGAGACGUCUUCUGGCGGUAACCACCAAGGCGUGGAUUUGUUACCCUAGCCGUCGCACGACUCCGUGCACCCUUGGAGAGUAAUCAGUGUUAAAACACUAAGUUGCUUGAAAUAAGGAAUUUGAAGUUAAAUUGAAAAUUUAAAUGUAGAUACGAAAACACAUCAUCUUGCUAACUUGACAACUUAACGCCAUCUUAAGUGGAUACCAUAGAAUGACCCACGAGUGGCGAAUUUAAAAAAAGAAUCACAUGGUUCCUAAUUAAGUGAAGCCAAUAAAAAAAAUCAACAAUACUUUUGGAGUCGGGUCAGGUCGGCUCAUGUACCUUAAAAGAACUGAACAAGUUCAAUCGGCUCAUGUACCUUGUAACGACCCGUCUCUGGUAUGUUGUUUCCAUGUUAUUUAUUUAGAAGUUUUCAAGAGGGACUCGGGGAGUCUAUAGCCCGACUCGUCGAGUAGAGACGGGAUUUCGAGCACGUGUAAGUCGCCGACUCAACGAGUCCAUAUUCGAGACUCGGCGAGUCCGCCUGCUAGGAAGAAACCCUAAAUCCCCGGGUUUGCUCACUAUUUAAGCAAUGUUAUGUGCCCCAAACUCGCCUCCUUCACCCUCAGAGAGCUUGAGAGAAACCCUAAACCAUUCCUUGUAUGACUAAAGUGUUUUGUGUGGAUUCUUGAAGGAAAAAGAAGAAAGGACCCAAAAAGAGGAAGUGUAGAGCAAAGAUCCAAGGCCAAAGUCAGAGUUCAUUGAGGUAUGUCUCGGAAUUAUUCUGUUUUGUGCUUAAAACCUCCAUUAGAACACCUCUAAGGCUAGUUUAAUGUAUUUUCCAAGCUUUAUAGUUGUAUGGAUGCCUUGUUGGGUCGAGAUAUCCCUAGAUCUGUUCAUUUAGGAGUUUUAGAGCCCUGAUCUAGUGCCUUUUCGAAGUUUCUUUGCUUGAGAACCCUAGAUCUAGCCUUUAUUAUGCUUUUUGAGCCUUUUAAUCUUCAUGGGUGCAUAUGGGCACGUAAAGAUAGAAUCUUUACGUGUUAAUCGAGCUUAGGGAGCCCAGAUCUAUAAGUUUUAUGCGUUGGAUUCAAGCAGAAUCGAGUUUAUAGUAGCUGCAUGCAUGCGACUCGGCGAGUCGUUCUUCCGACUCGGUGAGUCGAGUCGUGAGUCCCCGAUUUUUCCUCUUUUGAGUAAUGCCGAGUGGGGACCAGUGAGUAGUAGAGUGGACUUAGUGAGCUGGAGGUCAGACUCAGUAAUGGAGGGACUCGACGAGUUGUUCAUACAACUCGGCGAGUCCAAGGCAAUCUUCUUAGCUCAAGAACAACUCGUCGAGUUGUUCAUACGACUCGGCGAGUCGGAUGCAGAUAGCUUGAGUUCUAGAAUCGAAAGGAAACUCGUCGAGUUUAUGCCAUACUCGACGAGUAGCAGCGAGUAGGGUUGAGAAGUGAGAAUAGGGACUAGGCGAGUUGGCGGCCCAACUCGGCGAGUCAGGUCAACUGUAGGUUGACUUUGACCAGGAGAGUUGACUUUGACCAGGGGUAAAAGAAUCAUUUUACCCCAAUACAGUGAUUAGUAUUUGAUUGAGUGUGUUUAUGGAAUUGUAGCCGGAGAGAUACCAGAGCAGCAGCAGAUAGCUUCCAGAGCCAUACAUUCAGCAGCCAGUUUACGAGGUGAGUUUCCUACCAGUAGGAACGGGUCUACGACAACAAUGCCGGCCCGUUUAGCUAGCAGUUAGUUCCGGACUUCGGUCCGAAGCAGUAGUUCAAGGUGCUUGAUGUUGUGUUUCGGGCAUGUCUAUGUGUUAUGUUAGCAGAUACGUGUUUAUGUUAUGCUAUGUUCAGACAGUUCCGGAUUUCGGUCCGAUGCAGCUAGUUCCGGACUCCGGUCCGAUGCAGGGGACAAGGUCCCAGUCAGUUCCGGAUUUCGGUCCGAUGCAGACAGUUUCGGACUUCGGUCCGAUGCAGUCAAUUCCAGACUUCGGUCCGAUGCAGUGGGCAAGGCCCAGUAUGUGCUUUAUUUGUUAUUGUGUGGUAUGCGGUAGUUUAGGGGAGCUCACUAAGCUUCGUGCUUACAGUUUCAGUUUUGGUUUCAGGUACUUCCGCAAGUAAAGGGAAGAACUCGGGAUGAUGCAUCGCACACACCACAACUUCAGUUUUUGUCGUGGGAGUUGAUUCAGUUUCUUAGAUAUGUUUUGAUACUGUUGUGACACAUUUUUUCUCACAGUAUUUUAUUAUGUGAUACUCAGUUUUAUGAUCUUUGUUAUAAUAUAAAUGAAAUUAUCGGGUCGUAUUUUUGGGAUGUUUCAAGUACCUUGUGCCACCGAUUAAAAAAAUUUUAAAAACCGAUUGAAAUAUAACUGAAAAAGACAUACAGCUUAACGAAAAACUAGUUGAUUAUUAGUCCAUUGAUAAAGCGGCGAACGCAGAGUGAGAGUCUUUGGCAUGUGGGCUUUCAUUUUAUUAGAACAACUUGUUUAUUUAUUAAUAUUUUGAGAGUGCCGAUUAAGAGUAGUUAACUUUUUAUUAUCAAUCUCAUAAUUUAAAAUAACAAAUUGUCCCUAAUAACUUAUAUUUUUCUCUUUUUAAAGUGGUUUUUUUUUUUAAAAAUAAAAAUAAAAAUAAACUCAAUGUAGGUUCUCUAUUUUUUUAAGACUAAAUUACACAGAUGGUCCCUGUGGUUGGCACGAGAGACCAAAGAUAGUCCUUAUGAGGAAUUUUGGACUUGUAUGGUCCCCGUGGUUCCAAAUUGUUGCACGAAGAGUCCUUAUGACAUACUCCGUUUAAUUGUUGUCGUUUAUUUAAAUCACGUAACCCUCACACGAGGGUAUUUUGGUCUUUUGCUUAUCCCUUCUCUCUCUCAUAUCUUUAUAUGAUCUGCAAAAGAUUUCCCUUCCCUAUAAAAAUUAAACCCCCAUCACUUCCUUCAUUAUUUUUCGUCUCCUCUAUUCUCUCUUCUCUCUUCUCUCUGCUGUGUCUUUCUAAGAAACUUUGCUUAAGAAUGGUAAAUUGUUUUUGUGGAACGCAAGCGGUGAUAGUGACAUCAUGGAUGGAUCUCAACCCAGGUUGUAUGUUUUGGAAAUGUCCUAGCAGUUGCGGUUUCAUUGCCUGGUUUGAUGAGCCGAUGUGUCGAAGGGUUGUGGCUGUCAUUCCAGGUUUGCUAAGAUCCAUGAACAAGCUUCAAGAAUCUCUGCUGCAAGCAAGUUUUGAAGCAAAAAAAGUGAAGAUGAUGCUAGUUUUUAGUUGGGUUUUCUUUUUCAUGUAUGUGUAUAAAAGAUGCUAAUAGUAUUAGUCUGGAGAUGAUGGUUCUUUUGCUUGUGGGUAGAUGAUGGUUCUUUUGCUUGUGGUUAGAAUCAGAUAAUAGUAUUAAUUUGAAGAUGAUUUCGUUUUGUUUGUUUGUGAUGCAAGAAAUGUUCGUAUGUAUGAAUGGAAUGCUUUUUAUUUGGGAAACUUUUAGUCUGCUACCAUUGUAAAAUAUUGGUCAGGAACUUAAUGAGUGUAAAAUAUUGGUCUGCAACUUAAUGAACCGUGCAGAUCCAUUAAAGUAUAAAAUAUGAAAGUGAAAGGUUUUUGUAGGCUUUAGACCAUUGUAGAGCCAUAACAACAUUAGAAAUGUUCAAAAAUAAAAUGCAAACUUUUGCAUAGUCAUAAAGUUCAUUACAUAACCUUAAAGUGCAAAGUCAUAAUACCAAAAAAAUAUCAAAAGAGCUUGCAGACUAAUGUAUCAUAACCAAAAGAACCAUCUUAGUCUAGCACCCUGUGUGAACCAUAAUACCAACAAAAGAUAAAGACACACAAUAACCAACUUAGUCUGACCUUUCUAAGGUACCAAAACAAACAACACAAAAGACCUUUCUAAGGUUCCAUAACAAACAACACAAAAGACAACAAAUCAAACUUUUUCCUUCAUUUUGGAUUUAUCCUUAAGUUUGGUUUUCUCCUUCAUUUUGGGUUUCUCCUUUUUUCCAUCUCCCUGCUUCUUUGCCUUGCUAAGCUUCUUGCCCCCUGCCACCACAUUUCUAACUUCAGUUUGUCCCCCUUGUCCCUUGCAACUCCUAGAGUUGUGACCCUUGUUAUUGCAUUUGCUACAAGUAACUGUAAGGAACUUCUUGGUCAAACUUUUACCUUGAUUAUUUGGUUCUUCAGUUUGAGCUCUCUUUCUCUUCUUUUUUGGUCUCCCCACCUGCAUAAUUAAUAAAUUAUAAAACAGUAUAAACGUAUACUAACUUGUAAAUUGAAAAUUAUUUACCUGUUUAGUAUGCUUAGGAGGUGUUAGUGUUAUGGGGAAAUCUGACUUUGGCCACAUACUUCUUCCAUUGAUAGGUUGAACUUUGUACUUGUACAUUUCAUUCCAUGUGCUUAACCUAUAACAUGGAUGUACCCACUCCUCAAGAGGUGGGACAUUUUUUCCCAGUGCCUGCAACUACAAUUCCUGUCCCUCCAAUUAACCACAAAUUGUUCCCCCAUUGUCCCAGUAACUUGAGUCUUAUCAGCACCAUUAAAUAUGCAAGUGUAUUGAGAAGCAUCUUUCUUAACUCCAUCUAAAAGUUUUGUGGCUGGGGGGGGGAGAGGGGCNUUAUCUAUCACAUUUUGCACAAUACAAAUUCGUUUCAUUAAGUAUUCCCUAAUAUAUUCUAAACAUGUAAUUAUAGGUUUGUCUCGAGCAUCUAACAACUUUGAGAUGAAAACUUCACAUAAAUUAUUCAACAAAAUAUCUGUAUGUGCUCUUCCUGUACAAUGCAACAAAAUAUCUUAUAAGAAUCUGUCAAAGUGUAAAUCUUCCUUGAAUCUGUCAAAGUGUCUAACUGUUGUUGCUGUUGCACAUUCCCAUAAAUGAUCUCUGUGCUCCUUCCCCCUCCAUUGUAGCUUCAUGUUUUCGUGAAUAUGUCUUAAACAGAACCUGUGUUCAGCGCUAGGUAAUAGGUUGGCAAUGGCAGAUAAAAUCCCCUAAUUAACAAGUAACAAAAAUGUUAUUUUCUAAAUGUAGUAGACAAAAUUACAAAGAUGUCAUGAACAAGUAUCAUAAGAAGAUUAACCUUUUGCCUGUCAGAAAUAAAUGUGAAGUUUGAAUUUGUAGAGAGCUCCAAAUCUUCACCUAGACACUCUAGAAACCAACUCCAUGAGCUUUUGUUCUCGGCUUCAACUAUGGCAUAUGCUAGUGGGUAGAUCCGAUUAUUGGAAUCAAGACCCACAACAGUGAGAACCUAUCCAGUGUAAGGUCCCUUCAUGAAAGCCCCAUCGAAACCUAAAAAAUCUCUUAAACCUGCCUUAAAACCCAGUUUUAAUGCACCUAAACAGACAUAAAUUCUCUUAAACAUCCUAGUUUCCAAGUCUGCAUUUGGUUCACUGUAUACAUCAAUCUUCACAAUUGUUCCUGGGUUGCACUGUUGUAAUUCUAAUACGUAAUCCCUGAGAAGGCUGUAUUGCUUUUGAUAAUCUCCAUAAACAUGUUUCUGUGCAAGUUGUUUAGCCCUAAAGACCUUCAUUCUUGACAUCCCCACCUCGUAUAUCUUUUGUAACUCUACACACAAAGCUUUGACUGGGAUAGUUGGGUUUCCUUCCACUUCUUGAAGAAUGAUGGUUGUAAGAAACUUAGGCCUCAUUUGAUAGUUGCCGAUUGAGAAAGUGCUGACUGAGAAAGGUCUGUCUGGGUAAGAAAUCCUGAUUGGGUAAGAAAUCCUGUUGUUUGAUUGUACAUCUGACUGAAUGUGCUGAGUGAUGAAAAAUGACCAUUUUACCCUGCUGUUAUAUAUAUAUAUUGAUGGAUUAAAUUGCUGAAUAAUUAUAAAAACAUACAUAUUGUCAUACAAAAUGUAAAUUACACACAAAUAAAAAAUGUCAUACAAAAUGUAAAUUAAACAUAAAUCAUUUAAUAUCCAAAUAAAAACAUAAUGAAAUUUAAAAUAACAUAAUAAUUUAAUGUAAAGUAGGUGAAAGUAGUCGAUUUGCAAUCUGAUCACGCAAAACACGCAUAUAUUCAACGGCUUCUGGACCCCAUUCUAUGCCUUGUAUGUUUUCUCUAUCAAUUCCCCCACCUUGGACGUCAGGAGUAACCAUAGUGUCCUCCUCAAAAUUUCUAAACAAGUCAUCUUCUAUAUUGUAUUUCCUUAUAAAAUUAUGGACCGCGACACAAGCAAUGACUAUGUCUCUUUGCACUGUAAAAGGAUAAGGAGCCAUUUGUUUUAAGAUUGGGAAUCUCGCCUUCAAUACACCAUAAGCACGCUCAAUAACAUUUCUAAGUUGUGCAUGAGCAUGAUUGAACCUUUCUUCUCUAGUUAAAGGUCUGCCUCUUCGAAAAUCGGCUAACCAAUACCUAGUAUUGCGGUAUGGAGCCAUAAACCCACGAGUGUUUGUAUAUGCGGCAUCACAAAGGUAAUAUUUAUCUGCAAACGAAUGUGACAUAUUAUAUAAUGACACAUAUUAUAUAAAGAAGAUAGAUAAUAAAAAUUAUAUAAAGAUUACAAACCUGGUGGAGGAAAUGGAAAUCCAGAAGUCGAAUUGAAUGCAACUUCUUUCAAAACUCUUGAAUCAUGUGCUAUACCCUCCCAUCCAGCCCAAACAAAGGUGAAUAUCAUAUCAAAAUCACAAAUUCCUAUUACAUUUUGAAAACAUUCUCCUUUUCCUCUUCCUCAAUAACGAGUUUGUUGAUCAACAGGUACAACCGCACGUACAAGAGUUCCAUCUAAUGCACCAAUUGCUCCGGAAAAAAUAUUUUUUAACCGUCUAUGUCGUUCUGAGUUAUGUCUUGUUGGGUUAGGAGUUGUUGGUACUAUAAUUUCUUUUGCAAAACACAUCAUUGCUGUUAGGACCUCGUGAAAACAUUGAUGAAUCGUUUGUGUGGAGUGAUGAAAUCUUCCCUUAACCGCGCGAAAACGUUCAUUAUGUCCUAUAACAUGUAAGAAGAUAGCCAUCUUCUCUUCAAUGCUUAUUGUCCUACUAGCUUGCAACCAAUUUUUUUGGGUAAAAUGGUUGCAUAGUAAUGCAAAUGCCUCUUGUGUAAGACGCAUCAUAUCGAAACAUUGUGUAGGGUCUCCGUAUAUCAAAUCUUAUGUAUACGCAUACCCGCUUGAAUCGUUAUCUCUAAUUCUAAGAAUUCUGAUUAGUCUGCGCCGGUUUGACCUCAACCAAUAAAACACAAGUAAAAGAAAAGCUACAACUUCACCAUCAGAAACCAUACUUGAUCUAUUACAAACAAUUAGGUAAUAUGUUAAAGUAAAAAAAAAAUCAUGCACCAAAAAAAUUAGUAAACAUCAUUAAAAGUAACAAAAGUCGUAUAACAAACGUUGUAUAACAAAAUACUAGUAAACAUCAUCCAAAAAAGUCAUCAAACUAUAUAACAGUAAACCAAAAAGUCAUCAAACAUAGGAUCCAAAAAACUAGUAAACAUCAUCCAAAAAAAGUCAUCAAACAUAGGAUCCAAAAAACUAGUAAACAUCAUAAAAAAAACUAGUAUCCAAACUUUUCUACCCGCACCUAUCAAAGGUAACUAUACUUCCUACCCGCACCCAUCACCCACGACUCACAACUACUAUGCGAAAGUCGUAACCAAACUUUUCGAACAUCAGCACUUUCACCAAAUAGCAAAAGAGCGGUCUUGUGUCUUUCAUCUUCUUCUCCCCAUUCCAUUUUGUUCAAUUUCUCCAUACACGCAUCAACAUCCUUAUCCAUUUCACUUUUUUCAAUUCUUUCAUUUUUUUUCCACUAAUAACCUUACAAUCUUGACAAUCUCCUCUUCAACUUCUAAUGCCCUUGCAUCUCUUUUUUUUCCACCAACUCUUUUGUUUCCACCAACUUCCUUAUUUUUGAACGCCCCGAAGAUUCUUCACUUGCACCUACGUGUUGUGUUGAGGUUUCCAUUAGAACAUCAUCAUCAAAAUCAUGGGGACUAAACUCUUCUACAGGACAAGGGAGUGUAGAAGAUGGCCCCCAACUUUGAGAUCCGGUUGAUGUCAACCCUUCAAAUAGUUGGGUGCAAAGAUCAGGGAACAAUAGGGGUUUAGUUUUCAAUGACAACACGAACUUGUUCAACUGUUUACAAUUUUUAUAAAUAUUAGUAUAUGUUAUAAAAAUAAUCAUAAUAGUAUUGAUUAAAAAAAUAAAUUUAAUCAAAUAGUAUAUGUUAUAAAAAUAAUCAUAAUAGUAUUGAUUAAAAAAAUAUUACCUUCCCCUCUUCUUUCCAUUGUUCAUCGGUCAAAUUAAAUUUAUUUUUUAUAGGAUCAUAUAUAUUGCCGGUUUUGUUUUUGAGUUUCACCCAAGCAACAUACUUUGAUUUGUAGUAGUCAAAGUGGUUUCUCAUUUGCUUCUGAUCAACCUCUUUACCGUGUUCGUUUAUCAAUUUUUCGCGUAUUGUCUUCCAUGAACUUGCCUUAAGCCCAGAACCCUCACGACCAUUAGUGGUUAGUUCAUGGAUACAUGCAUCAAGAAAAGUUUUGUCCUCACUCUCGUUCCAAACCAACAUCCUAAAACAUUAAUAUUUAAAGUAAUUUAUCAUAGUUUUUAUCAAGUUAAAGAACAAUUUUAAACAUAAAGCAAUUUUCAACCAAGGAAGUUAACAUCAUCCUAAAUUAUGAUUUGAUAACUUAUACACAAACAAUUUCAGAUGUCACAAAACAUCAAUAUUCAAGCUAACAAUUUCACAAAAGAUAACAAGCUAACAAUUAAGGUCAACAAUAUCAAAGCUAUAAAAUUAGAAAGAAAAAAAAAACAGCCCAAUUUUUGAUUUUAUAGCUUAUACUUUUGAUACUAAUACAAGCUCAAUAAUUGGAAGACAUGUGAUGUUGCAUGCAUUCCCCCUCUCGCCCACUCUUCAAGGAACAAUUGGAUUAUUAAAAAAGUUAGGUUACCAUUAAUCUUAUAAUAAUUAUUUAUUAUUAAUUUUACUUUUGUACUUUACACAUAAAAACACAACNAAAACCAAAAAAAUAAAAAAAAAAAAAAAAAAAAAAAAACAGCCCAAUUUUUGAUUUACAAACCUACUUGUAUUUUCCAAUUCACAUUCAAUUUCAAUUCACAAGCUAUAAAAUCAAAAUUCAAAAAAAAAACCUUCCAAUUCACUUUCAAUUUCAAUUCAUAAGCUAUAAAAUAUGAACCGGAGAAAAAAACUUCCAAUGUGAAUUGGAGAAAAAAACUUCAAAUUCAGAAAAAAAAACAAAAAAACAAAAACAAAAAACAACUACCAAUUCACAUUCUAUUUUAGAAUUCAUAACAUUAGAAAAAAAAACCUUCAAUUUUCAGUUCUUAUACACAAAGAACUACAAAACAAAACAUAAACAAACUUCCAAUUCACAUAUAAUUUCGAAAUUCAUAUAUUAGAACAAACAAUUUCAGAUUUCAGUUCUUGUACACAAAGAACUACAAAAAAGAACAAAAAAAGCUUAUCAUAUGAACAUACAGGUUGAGAAUUCAUAAUAUUCUAACAUAUACUAAUUUGAUUUCAUAAAGAACUACAAAUUUCAUACCAUCAAAGCAUAAAUGGUAUCUGAUUUUGAAAAUUAUUAACAGAAAAAUUAUCUAACCUGUGUGAUGGAUCGAGAAGGCGUCACUGAUGGCGGUGGCGGAGGUCCGACGAGAUGGCACAGGUCCGACUGGUCGGACUGUUUGGCGUUCAAUGUUGUGGAGUUCUUCCUAGCGGCUGCUGUGCUUUUAGGUCACUAGAAGGGAAGCGAAUGGGGAAAGAAAUAAUAACGACGCAGGGGCAAGAUAAGGGCAAGAUUGUCUAAUUUCCAGUCAGCAACUGUUUAAAAACUGAUCCAGAAAGCGAUUUGGGUCAGCAGAUCUUACCGAGAAAGCUCAAAUCAAACACCAAAGGUCUGACCGAGUCAGCCCAAUUUGCUGACUCGACCCAGUCAGACAUUUAUCAAACACUCCCUUAGAAGUGCACUCUUUAAUAGACCUUGACUGCACACAUCUAUGCUCAUGAACCAAAGUUUUCACCAUCCAAUCGCUUUCUUCAUCAGAUCUAGAAAUUAAUACCACCCAAGGGCAUGUUGCUUUUUGUGAGCUGACUGUUUUAUCCUUGCAUUUGAUUCUACUUUUUGUCCAUGGCCCACCUGUCAUUUUCGGGACCACACCCCUGCAUUUUGCCCUAAUUCUUUUUUUUUUAUCAUUUUUUGAAAAGUAAAUGUUUCUCCUAGUUCGAAUUGAAUGCAUUUUAAUGUAGUCCUUCACUUCUGAUGAGGACUUAAAUAUUUGACCCAGAUGGAAUGCAGUUUCAUGUACUACUCCUGAUGAACAUGUGGUUGGUUUGUUUAACCUUCUCAUUAAUUUCUUCCUCUCAUCUUCUUCUACACCAGUUGAUUCAAAUAAUUGUGUAUCUAUCACCUCCAAAUCCUCAUCAACUGUGACAUCAGGUGCAUUGAAUGAUUGGUGGUUAUCUAGAUUUGGAAAAGAAUAAACACCACUGUGGAAGUCUUUCAUAUUCACUUCGACAUCCUCCACCAUAUUAAGUUCAUCCACUAAAAAGUCACUAUCGUCGCUUAUACUUCCAUCGGUACUAGUCUCAUCACUAAUAACAUCUCCAAUUUCUUCAUUUUCCCCCAUCUGUUGGUAAUCAUUAUGAUCCAUAUAAAAGAAAGGAUCAAAGUCUUCUGAAGGGACAACAUCUUGGGCUUUGUUAAGCUCCUCACUUGCAGGAUGAACUCGAACAUCUUUCACUACAUCUCUAUCAAAAUGUCCAAAAGGUACAACAGACCUAGAAAAGUCAUAGUUCUCAUUCAAGUCCAUUUUUCUACUACAUGAUCCUACCUUUGUACUUGUAAACUUUUUUCGAUUGAGUUCCGGAGAAAUAGGCUCAUUGAUUUCUUCCGAUACGACCUUAUUUGGAGAUAUAAAGUAUGCAUGGAGUCUAGUAGUUCCAUGUUCAGUAUACACCAUAAUCUCUUUAUGAUUAGCAACAUGCUUACUUAACAAAAGUACGUCUGAGUUGUUACCUAAAGGAAGUAACCCAUAAUCGAUUUCAAUCUCAGGAAUCAAGAAGUGGUAGUAGAUAGGCUCACCGUUGAUAUAACCUAUCUCCUUCAUCAUAUCGUCUAACUCAUGUACGGAAAACACGUCCAUGUCUACGUAGUCAACAUAGUCAAUACUCCCACCAACGUAACGUCUUCCUGGGUAUUUUGUGAACAUACCCCCAUGGUGAAUCUUGAAUGUGCAAAAACUACUUAACUCAACUGAAAAACAAAUAAAUAAUGAUAUGAGGAAAGAAUGAAGUCUCAAAAUUGAAUGUGCAUAAAUUACUUAACAAAAUUGAAAGUUGUUAACUGAUCACUCACCAUAAGCUUUGAUCAGGUCAGGAUUUUCUGAGAAUUUUGAACGGACAUUCCACAAAGUUAGAACGAUCGCAAAAGAUGAAAAUGAAAACCCUAGUUUCCGUUUGAUGUUUUGAAGUGAUGAAGAUGAAAAACCAGAGGAGAAAAGAAAGGGAUGAUUUCUUGGGGUAAUGUAAAUGGCAGCUAGAUGUAAGGAUCAUUUAUGAAUAUGAUCAUUUCGUGUAACAAAGCAAAAGACCAAAAUACCCUCGUGUGAGGGUCACGUGAUUUAGAUAAACGGAAACAAUUAAACGGAGUAUGUCAUAAGGACUAUUCGUGCAACAAUUUGGAACCAUAGGGACCAUACUCGUCCAAAAUUCCUCAUAAGGACUAUCUUUGGUCUCUUGUGCCAACCACAGGGACCAUCUGUGUAAUUUUGUCUUUUUUUAAAGAUAGUUCAUAAUUUUUCUAUUAUAUACAUUGUAAAUGAAAUUGAGAACUUAAGUAGGUCCUAGGACCUACCUAAGCACAUGGUGGAUACGCCCCUGUUACCCACACUAACCUCAUACACUUACAACACAAAUGAACUUGAACGGUCUAAGACCAAACCAAGAUAUAAUAUGAAAUGUGUAAGUAUAGUUUAAUAGAUGAAAGUGAGGUGUUGUUUGGGCUUGAAAAGUAGGGGUGAGCAUGGUGCGAUUUUUUGAGAAAACCGAACCGCAAACCGCAAGAUGCGGUUUCUAUAGGGUAAAACCGAUAGGUGUGGUUUUUGUUUCGGCGUGGUUUUACAUGCAUUUUCGGUGUCAUUCGAUGCGGUUUCGGUUUUUAACUGAAAAUAUGUGUUGGUGUGAUUUUUCAUACAUGUGUUGAUCUACCAAAGAAGUAAUAACCCCUAAAGAAGCUAGAGCAAGGCCUAAUUGAAAAUGAAGCCAAUUAUUAAUUGUGUCAUAAAGACCCUCAUGCCCACGUCUCAAUCGCCCUCUUGGAGGGAUAUGUGCAUCUAAAAGAUCUUUCAUACUGUGCCCAAUCCCAAAAUUAGUUCUAUACAUAUGCCCAACAAUAAGAAAAAGAAAUGCAAUAGCUAAAUAAUGAUGAGUCAUAUCAGCAUGUCCAAACCCGACUUUUCAGUUAACUUUCCUUUAUUUCCGGUACAGAUUCUCAUUUAAAUGUAUUUAACAUGCUUGUGAAAUAGUUAUAUGUUAUUCUUAUCAAAAUAUAGACUUCUUUAUGAUAUUACGAUUUUGAGAUUUGAAUUAUAUGUUUGAUGCAACAAGGGAUUUGGUUUUAUAAUCUCAAAUUCCAUUACUUAAUCAUUAUUGUUUAUACAGAUAGAGGCGGCUUUUGAUUCGAAUUGCAUUUUGCUUGUGAUAAGCAAAAGGAAAAUUGUUAAUGGUACGCACUUUGAUACAAAUGUCAAAUUUUAUAAAAAUAUAGCAAAACAUAAGGCAUGCACAGUGGCAAAAAGAACUGAAGAGGUCGAAGUUGAACAAAAUAUACUUUUAUUAAUAAGUAUUAUAAUAUAUUAAAUAUUGUCAGGUUUUUAUGGUGCUGUUUGGCAUUGUCCAAACCGCACCACACCGAAAAAUUACCAAUUAAGGUUGGAUUGGAAUGCAUAAUUAUCAAUUUAUCCUUAAUAAGUCAUAAAUCAACAAAAAUGGCCCAACAAUUUUCUUAAUCUUAAUUGUUGCCUUUGGAUUAGAAAUCAUCAACGAUCAAGAUUGGUUCUCACAAUUCUCUAAUCUCUACUUUUAUGUUGUUUUCAUUUGAACUCAACCCAAAAAUCUCACCAGUAAUCACCACACGAACAAAUCCCGUUCUUGAAAUGAUGAAACCUAUUUGUAUCCCGAAGAAUAAUUUCCCGCUCAACAAUCUUGGAAAUAAGCUUAGCAGCAAUAUGACAAUCCUCACAAACACGUAGAUUUUUAGUAAUCCGUAUAGGCGUAAAAGCUUUAGUAUUUAUAAUCACAAACACAAUAGCAAGCUUCUCACUAUGAACAGCAAGAUGAUUUCCUUUAUCUUCAUCUUCUAUAUCAUGAAGUGCAGAAUCCACUUCAGGAACAUACCCAAAAUCCCUCAUCUUCCCCACAAGUACUUCCAACUCUUGAUAAAUCUGUUUAGAUUGUGGAUGGGAUUGAUCUCCAGCAAGAAACGAAUGAACUUGAUUAUUAAGCUCAACAUUACUAACACCGGGCUCUUUUUUCACUCCUUUUGAUUUCAUUAUUGAACGAAUAUUUGUCACAUCUUUAAAUCUACCUGCUUUUGCGUAUAUAUUUGAUAAUAAAACAUAAUACCCUGCUUGUUCAGGGACCAAUUCAAAGAGAUGAUCUGCUGCUACAAGACCAAUUUCCAUGUUGGAAUGAACUUUACAAGCACUUAACAAAGCACCCCAGAUUCUAUCGUUUGGUUUUGUUUUCAUUUUCUUUAUAAAAUCAUAAGCUUCAUUGAUUCUUCCUGAUCUUCCUAGCAAAUCAACCAUGCACGCCAAGUGUUCGAGUCUUGGAAUGAUGUUAUACUCUUCGGUCAUCAAUUUGAAGAAAUGUUUUCCUUGGUUUAGUAAUCCGGCAUGGCUGCAGGCUGAUAGAACUGGAACGAAGGAAAUGGAAUCAGGGGCGAUUCCGGAAUUUUGCAUAUUUGAAAAGACUGUGAUAGCAGUUUCACCAUCUCCAGUCAUGCCAUAAGCAGAGACCAUGGAAGUCCAGGAGACGACAUCUCUUGUUGGCAUUUCAUCGAACACCUUGCGUGCUUCGUUUAAAGACCCACAUUUAGCAUACAUGUCAAUCAAGGCGUUCUCUACUGUUAGAUUAGGAAGAAGCCUUUUUGUUUUUACAUAUGAAUGAAUCUUUCUUCCUAGUAAUAAAGCUGAAAGAUCUCCACAAGCGGGUAGGAUGCUAGCAACUGUGAUUGAAUCCGGGUCGAUUCCGUAAUUCUCCAUUUGUUGAUAAAGAUUAACUGCAUCUUUAGGCAUCGAGUUGUUGACGUACACAGCUAUCAUGACAUUCCAAGAAAUUAAACUCUCUCGAGCGUGAUUCAUGAACAUUUCUUUCAUAAACAUCACGUUGGUAGAUGAAGUAGAAGUUGUUAAAGCAGGGGAAAGGCUGGCCAUGGUGCCUGCGUUGGGUUUUGAGGUAGAACAUUGCAUCAUUGUCUUACAAAUCUCCAAUGCAUCUUCAAACAUCCGGUUUUGGGCGUAGGCAGCAACCAUAGCAUUCCAGGAGACGAUAUCUCUACUAGGCAUUUCAUCAAACACCUGGCGUCCUUCCAGUAACCGGUUACAUUUUCCAUACAUUGUAAUCAAUCCAUUCCCUACAUAAAGAUUUGAAUGCAGACCCUUCUUGAGAACAGCAACAUGGGUUUGUAAUCCGACCCACAAAUUCUCAGACACGGAACAUGCUUUUAGAACUUGAGGAACUGUAAAAUGAUCAGGGUUAAUGUUGAACUUGAACAUGUUUCUGUACAUACGAAGUGCUUUUUCGUAGAAUUCAUUGUUUACGUAGCUUCUAAUCAUCACAUUGAAGAAGACUACAUCUUUUUGAGGAAAUUCAUCAAACAGUUGGCGGGUAACUGCGAUUUGGCGACAUUCAGAAUAAGCUUUCAUUAAUUUCAGAGCAAUAUGCGAUGCUGAGACGAGGUUUCCAUCAAUAAUUAACCUACAAUGUAUCUUUUUCAAUUGUUUGAUAUCUGGGCACUUGUCCAAGAUUUUGAUACACAAGUCUUCUGUGAUUAACAUGAUUGUUAAGGCGAGAUUUGAAUGAAUUUGAACUUAUAUUCCUUUCGCCAUGUUGUACCUGAGGGGCAAUCAAAUAGAAUGGACGAAGAUAACGAAGGUUUACUUGGUGGUGUUCACUUAAAAACAAGAAAUAUGAAGUUCUAAACGCUAUUUCUUGUUAAACAGAAAAUAUUUUGUCCAAUCUAAAAAUCCAAUUUUUGAGUAAGUUCAAGCUUAAGCUCAAAAAUAGUAAGCAAAACAUGUUUAAAAAAUAAAAGUUCGUUUGAAACUCUUUGGAUAGCUCGAGUAUAACAAUCAUCAUAAUUAUAGUCAAUAAAUCAGGCUCAAACAACCAAACUUGAUGUCCAGCCCUUGAUCAUCCAAUUGCCAACUGAAAUCAACUUAGUUUCCGGUUUUAGAAUCGCCCUAACAUUACAUAAGCACCAACUAGUUCCAAAAGUAGUUUUUAAUUCAAUGUCUCCCAUACCCGUGACUUCAAGGGUUUCCAUGUUACCCAACCUUACCAACUUAAGAUAAGUUCUUUACUUCAAUUACUAUAACAGAUCGAUGAGUCAUGUUCUAAUGACCUCUCGUCAUAUGAUGCAAUGCUUAGACUCGAGUCUUUUAAAGUCAAAUUCUAUAAUGAAAUAUACAUUCCUUCAAGUUUCUAAUGUGAUAUAAUCACAUUCUAGCAUGUAUCACUUCUAGCUACAAGCUUCUUACUUUAACAACAAUCACAAUACUUCUAUUGAUCGCUUUGAUUAUCUUUCAGUUCAAUCUUCUGGCUUAAGUCAGAUGCUACAUCGAUCUUGGUUCUCUGAACCACGUACAAUACUUAUCCUAGCUGUAAUCGAUUUGAUAUGACCACUAGGGUCGGAAUAACAAUCAUCUUCUUAGUCAUUACCGAAAUUAUGGUAAUGACACAUGAACAAAACAGAAUCAAUUACUAGCGUCUUGGUAACUCGUGACUUUCCCUGAUCCAAGUGCGAGUCGUGUGCUUCCAGUAGUAUAUGCCUCUACUACCUUUCACACCUACUCAUACUUGUCCCAAGUAUUGUCUUUCAGUUCUCCAAGUCACCAUAAAAGAAUUUCACAUAGUCAUUUAACACAUCGAAUAACAAAACUAAGGUUUAUAUUAUUUCUUGAAACGAUUACAUAGAUAUUCAAGUUCACCUUAUACCAUGCCUUUUAUAUUAGGCUACACCACAUGAUACUAUCUAUAUGGCUACUUUAUAUCUCGAUCUUCAGAUAUAUAUAGAUCCCUACUCCUAAUCCCUUGUAUCGUCACCUGCUUCAUCCAGGUUAGACUUCGAGAAUCUUCCUUUCUUAUCGAAUCUUGAGGAUCCCUCAAGCUUCUUCUUUUCUCAUGCCUUGUCUUAUUCCAGACCCUUUUUCCUAAAUUAGGUUUCCAUAUUCUUGGUUGCUCUAACGGUUGUCUUCAAAGUAGUUGCCAUUUUUACCAUUGCGCCAAAUUAUGCUGGCAAUCCGUUAGCAAAACUAUCUAUCUUGGAGAGUUCAGUAGCACCAAGUAGGGGAAUAACUUCAUCUGCUCGGUGAAUACGGUGACAUACUCAUCAACACUCAUCUUCCUUUUCUUCAAGUUCGAAACUCGUUGUUUAGGUCUAUCAGAUCUAUCUCUGAGCAGUAUUGCAUUUUCAACUGCUCCAUGAAUGCUUCCCACCUCAGGGCUUCUCCCCCAUGGCUUUGUAUCUGCCAAUAACUUCCACCAACUUAAAACUCUGGUCUUUAGUUGUCUGACUGUAAAGACGGUUUUCUGCUUGUUGCUGCAAUUGCAACUUUCAAAUGUCAUCUCUAUCUCGGAGAUCCAAUCCAUGAUCUCUACUGGCUUCGGGCUUCCAGAAAGACUUGGUGGUUUGGCACCUAAGAAGUUCUUAUACAUACGUUCAUCCUUAUCAAUCGCUUUUUUCGGGUCGUUCCUCCUUGCCACUCGGGGUUCAGCUUGACUCACUGUACGACUGUAAUUUCCCUCCUCCGACAAUUCUUCAUUCAGUUCGGGUUGCACGAUAGGCACAAUAGGUUCAUCCCUAUUAUCAAGAAACAUUUUUCUCAUCUCCUCCCUUUGUUCGGCCAUCAUAGCCCAAAUCAUUGCUUAGACUCUUGCCAUCGUGAUUGGCUCGGGUGCAGCUACUACCUCUGGUGCACAUUUAAUCACUCGUGGUUCAGGCUGUUAGUUUUCAUUAGCAUUUUCUAAUAUGUUGCGAGUUCUCACCAUUUCGAUCUAUACACUCUAGAGAUGUUCAGUGUACAGUGACGAGAAUUAAGAUAUGGAAAGCUUUAUUUACGACAGCCAUAUAAAUCUUCUUAUCACUCGUAAAAGUUAUAUACUAGUUCUAAUACCGUAAUUAAAUGUUUGGAAAUUUUGAGCAAAUGACGGUUCAUCAACAAUAGAGCGAAUCUCAUUUAGGAAUUCGUUGAUAGGUCGAUUUCCUUUAGGAUUUUUAGCAAGUUUGGAUUUUAAAGAGAUGAUUCUUGAGCAGGAGGUGCUGGCAUAGCUUGUGUUGAGAUGCUUUCAUGCUUCUUUUGUGGUAAAUACAGAGGUAAUGAUAGGUUGAAUGAAUUGCAUCUGAGCAUGAACCAAGAAUUGCAUCGAAUACUACAUGAUCUUGGCGAUAGCAAGUCGUGUAUUCAUGAUUAGGUUUGGAUUUGUCUUUGUCGAUAAUGAAUUUUGUGGUAGGAUCAGUCACCCAUGUGAUGUAAUCUUCCAGACCUAGUCCAAUAAAUGUGGACUGCACUUGUCGCCUCCAUACAUGGAAGUUGUUGGUGAGUAAUUUGGUAGGAAAGUGACUUGAGGCGGUGAUUUGUAUUUGGGAUGAUUGUGUCAUGGUGAUGUUGAUGAAAAGGAUUAGAGGAGAAAGGCAAGAUGAUCGAUUGACUCUUUAGAGUGUGUGUGCUCUGAUACGAUAUGAGAUUUGAGAAUCAAUGGGCUCGAAUGAAUAAUUUCAUUUACAAAGAUCGAUACAUAUAUAGAUGGUAACGAGAGUUAAAGAGCUAUACAUGGAAUUUACUAAGAAUAGAUUGCAAUUACAUACAAAUAGAAGAGAUUAUUGUAGAUUAGUCAUGAAGAUGUGUACGAUGUUAUAGUUAGAUUGCUUAUUUGCAAUCCAUGUUAGCUAAGUAUGUCAUGUUGAAUACAAAUUGUAUUAAAACAUUAAAGUUCCAACCAUUAUAUGUUGAAGAAGAAGCAAAUACGCCUUAGUCACACCCAUUCUAAAUGAUAUGGAUGUUAUGGUUGUCGUUUCUAUGCAACCAAAUCGUGAUUCCAAGUUGCAGUUGUCUUACCAAUAUAUCAUGUUAGGAAAAGAUGACAUAGCAUGAAAUAUUGUAUGUUACAACAAAAAGAUAUAUCUUAUAGAUGUCUUGCACAUGGGUUAUUCCUUUUUAAGCACUUAUAUAAAAAUAAUAUCACGUAUGUAUGAUAUCUAUUUUGAGAGAUUUUUAGCAAGCAACUCUUUGUCUAUUAUUGUUAUUGGAUAGAAAAAGUAUCAUCUUCGUUGGGAAGAUUUUACUAGGAUUAGAUUCAUAAUAGUUUGUCAAAGAUUUUACUAUUAUGUAUUUAUAAACCCAUGAAGUUUUCUAUUAAAUAAAUAAAUAAAUAACCAUUCACCAUUUAUAUCUUUUUGGAAUAGAGUUUGUUAAAUUCUAAUAUAAAUAAAAAGAGUAUUUAUUUAGAUUCACACAUUACAAAAUUACAAACUCCAAGCAUAAAUCCGAAACUUAUUUUUAAACUUCUUCAUUUAUAUUACAAGUUUUAUUCUUUUUUCCCAACCCACUUGGGGUUUCGAAACCCUAAAAAAGUUCUAUCCAUGGAAGUUCAUAUUUAUUUCUUAUCUUAAUGAAUUUAAGGUCUAAAUCAAUAAAUGGCAAUGUAGAAUUAACCGCAUAUAUUAAGUUAUUUUUGGAAGCUUUCCAACACAACACAGAAAGGAAAUGAUGAGAAUUUAUGGUACCAAAUAACAAAAUAAUCCCGGUUCCUAUAAAAAUUUAUUAAAGCUCUACUCAUGAUUUCAUAAUCUCCUCUAAUAUGAGGGUUACGUUAUUGUAAUAAUAACUAUGAUAAUGUAAAAGCCAUAACAUAAAUCGUCUUAAUUUAAGAAAUAAUAUAAAUCCCAAGAUAUUGUUUUUAAAAUAAAAAGGAAAAAAGUGGGAGUCCAUUAGAAGGAGCCAAGCUGAUUAUUUGAGCCAAGAGAGCACCGAUUUGUUAUCCUUCCACUGUUCGAAGCGAGAGGUUAUCGCAGCUCUGUGAAGCCAGCCUAACGCAUUGCCCUCUGCUCUAGGAACCAAGAAGCCCAAGCCUUCGCUCAAGCCACUUGAUCCAACUCCGAACUUGGAACGGGCAAACCAGAUUUUGCAACAGCUUUGACCCAACCAAACAAGGCUCGAUCUCAGUCCAUCCCACUUUAGAGCCCUCACUUGAGUCACAAGCUCGCGUUACCAAGCUCGGCGAUAAACGAAGUCCAUUUGAUGUAUAAAUAAUCGGAAAAACUUUCUCCUCCAAGCGAUGUGGGAUGCGAAACGAAAUAUUUUCAUCUUCAUUCUCUCUUUAUCUCUGUCAAAUACUGUGAUUACUGAUUACUGACUACUUAAACACCCAUGCAACGGAUUUCAAGUAUUUUUUUCAAUCCAUGGAUUUAGAACUGUAAACUGAAAAAAGAGAUUGUGGAAUAGUUUUGGAAACUGGAAUUUGUUUACAAGUUUUUCGUGAGGUGUAAGUGAUAAGAUAUGAUAUUUGAGUAAUUGGAAUCAUUCUCUCGAAGAUUCAAGUAUCAAGUAUGAAACUUAGACAAUAUAUAUACCUGUUUUCUUCUCUUUUUUCUGUCUACGAACCGAAUCCAACAUGAUUUCUCUACAAAAUCCGUGUCUUAAUCCUAAUUAACACUCACUAACCGGUUACCCCUCCAGAUGUUGCAGAAAUUUUCUUGAAUUAUCUCUUUUGUUUUUCACAAUUCAAUGUCGGUUGCUCCCUUUCUCUCUGAUUCAAGUAUUCAACCACCGCCAAAGACUUGAGAAAGUGGAGGAGUUUAUCAAUUAAAUGAGUUUAUAUGCUUUCCAACUUUUCGUAAAUUGCAAGUUACUCCCCGUACCUUUCGAAAAUCUUCCUUUAACAAUUGUGGAAAGUUGUUGAAAUUUGAAAAUAAAAUAAAAAUUAUAGUCAAGGGGAUCGUUUUAAAGGUUUCCAGGAGAUACUUUUGUUGAUAUAUUUUUGAAUAAAAAGUUAAUUAUAUAAUAGAUUUUUACCAAAUAAUGUGGAUAGCUAAAAAUGUGAUUAUGGUUUAAAAAAGAAAUCUAAUAAAUAAAGAUUAAAUAAAGAAGUUAUGUUUUAAUAUAACUAAAUUAAUGAUGGUAUUGUGUUUGAUGAAAGGACUAAAACUGAACAAAGAAAAAAUAUUUGUGUUUCACUCACAGAUACUAGCAAUUGAUGGGUCUUAAAUGAAAAGGAGUUGGAUAAGGAAUAAAAACCUUGUAGACGUUCACACUUUUCUCUUUUGAUCAAAAUCUUAUUUAUAAAUUUCAAAAUUUGAUUCAAACCUGUUGUAUAAUUUUAAAUAAUUAAACUCAUAAUUAAAAUUAUACUCUUAUCCAUAAGUUAAUAGAUAUCUUGACUCAUUUAUAGUAUUAUAGAUUACAAGAUUGUUGUGCACGUCACAAAGUAUCAUCCAUAAUAUAUAACAUGAUAUUUUACUUAAUACUAAAUAUACGACAAUUCAAAAAUCAUAUUUUACUAAAUACUUACGAUAACAUUUUUUUUUAAAUGGAUGUCUAUUAUAACAAAUAUGCAUGAGACAACGUAGUCGUCAAGAUAAAUCAUAAACAAAAUAAAUGUCUACUGUAGAAAACAUAUGUUUAACAUAUAUCAAUUGCACUUAGAAAAUAUUUACACUCUCAUAGUAUGCGUUCGAUAGGGAGAAAGCAUCAUAAUCAAUUGGUGAUUUUUUUGGUUGACGUGGUUAUGUGUUUGAUUAGAGAAGAAAGCAAAUAGUAUGAUGUCGAUUGAGGAUUUCUUGAGUUACAAAUAGGGUUAAUGUCAUAAAAAUUCUCAAGCUUUCAGGGUUUUGUCGGUUUUGCCCAAAGUUUAAUUUUAUGUCCGUUUUUACCCUAACAUUUUCCAAAAAAUGUUCGUUUUUACCCUUUUACCGGUGAUAACAGGUUACCAUUAUAUUAGUUUCGCAAAAAAACCCUUAAGUUUAUAGUUUUUUACGUUUUUACCUGUAAGUUUAUAUUUCUUUUACACUUUUACCCUUUGUAUUUUUUUUUUUCAUAUUAUAUGUAUUCAUAAAGAAAAAAUAUAUUUAUAUACGAAAUUUUUUUAAUUAAAUAUUGUAUUUACAUUUUUAUAAUGUUAUUUCUUCAUAUAUAUAUAUAUAUNNUAUAUAUAUAUCAAUAAAAAACAUAAUGAAUCAUAAACAUGUUUAUAUAAGUAUAUACAUAUAUUUUUAGAAGUGUAAAUAUGUAUUUUGAUAUAUGUUUUUUUUUAAGUAUAAAUAUAUUUUUAGAAGUAUAUAUACAUAUUUAUAUAUAAAAAUGUAAAAAUAUGUAUUUAUACUUUUAAAAACUAUAUCUAUAAAACACGUAUUCAUAAUCUUGUAAAAAAAUGUGUGUUAGGAUCUUUUGAUCGCAUUCCGAUCUUAUGAUCACAAUCUUGUAAAAUACAAAAAUAAUCGUAUGUAAGAUUUCAAUUUUGACAAUCUUUAUUUGAAGGAAUAUUAAAAUCAUAAAAUUAUGUUAAUGUGUAACUUGGAACUUGGUGACCCGACCCAAAACAAAGUCAAGAAACCCGACAUCAAAUAUCGAUGGGAUAAAUGUUUGGAAUAAGCUUAGGGUCGAUAGGCCCUAAGUCGUUGGUAAUAGAAGAAUUUUUCAGUUUCCGGCUCCCUACCUAUGAAGUAUGUCAUAUCGACCAAAUCAUAUUAAAUCUAUGUGUCAUUUUAUUGUUGCUUUUUUGCAUAACAAAUUGAAUACUUAAUCUCACAAAAUCAAAAACCUAACUUGAAUAUGAUCAUUGUCGUUGAUACAAUAAAAAUAUAAACCAACAAAACCUUGGAAUUCGGAUUGAAUCCACAUGGAGUUCGUAGUUAAAUUAUGUGUUUGAAAGAUUCAAUUAGCUAACCAAAGAUGCAAGAAAACUAAUCACUUUUGGAACAAUCAAAUUUGAAAUCCAAAGGACAAAAAUGUGCCAAUCAUAAAUUAGGAAUUUAGAAAACCAAAAGUGUAUUGCAAUCAAUUUCUAAAUUGAAUGACCAAAAAUAAUGACCAAAUCUCGCAUUAACUAAACAUUUGAAUGUAGUUAUUUAAUUUUUAUUGUAGCAUAGAUACAUAGACAUGAUCAAUAAAUCUUCUUAUUCUAAUAAAUGAAUAAGUUUAUUCUCAUGUUGACAAGUCUUCUCUAAUAAAUGAAGGUUUUUUGUCAUUUGUUACAUUCUCAUUCAAAUUGUUAAAUGUCAUUUUGUGGUUAUUUUGAAUUAAUUUUUUUCCCACAUAUCAUUUUAUGAGUUUUUCUAUUUUAUUAAAUUCCACAUAAUAUUUUAACAUAAUAGUUGUAAUAAAUGUAGUAAUAAACGGAUAUUAAUUUCACUAAUAAACUUACCUUUUAAUUUCAAAAUUCCCAAAAUUAAAGUUCAUUCGUUUCUUUUCUUUAUUUAAAUUAUGUGUUUAAAUUUAAAAGAUAAAAUACAUUUCCAUUAUAAUAAAUCAUUAUUUUUCUUAUUUUCUUAUAAAUUCAAAGUUCUCAAAUAUUUUGACAUUUAUAUUUAACAUUUUUUUUAAAUAAAUUCAUAUAAUACAUGGGUCUCGCAACUAGUGGCAUACUGUUAGAAAUCUUCAUUAAUAUUAUAUGUCAUCUAUCAUGCCACAUGUCAACCUAUUAAUUCUCCAUUUUAAAUUUUAAAAUUUAAAUUUUCCACUCUAAUUACAUUAAAUUAGAUUAUUUAUUUCAAAUUUUAAAUUUCACAUUCUAAUUACACUAAAUUAAUAACAUUAGAAUAAAAAAUAAAAUAAAAUUAAUAUAUAUUAUAAGGUGAUAUAAUUUAAUGUAUUUAUUUAAAUCAACGAUUAUAAUUUAUAUAACUAAAAAAAUAUCUCUUAAUUAAUAAUUUAUUUGAAGUAAUUGAUUAAUAAUUUUAAAUUUACUAUGUUUAUAUUAAUUUUAUAAUUAUAAUUCUCGCAGAUUAUAAACUAGUUAGUAGAAUAAAAUGACAAACUUUAGGCAUAACCCUUGAUAUGGCCGUAAAAUAGUGUUAACUCCAAAUCUAGGUGGAGCUCGGCACGAUAUAUCACAAUAAUAUUAACUUCAAACAAUUUAAAAAUAAAACUUAUGCAUAAAGUACGAGAAUAAAUUGUUGGGUUACAAAUAAAAUAUUGAAAGAGAAGAGGUUAAAAAUGGCCAACUAAAUGUGUUUGACCAUAUUUAGGGAGGAAGGAGUUGUUUCCCUCCUCCUGCCGAAACCGCUAAACCUUAGUCGGAGGGUAUCGAACCCAUCCAACCCCAAAACCACCGACCCCAUCUUCUUCAACUUUCCAACUUUGAGUUGUCUCCCCAGUGGGUUUCUCAAACCGUUAAACCCCUCUCUUUCUCUCUUGCUUUCAUCCCUUUCCUCCUCUAACCCGCUAUGACUCCUUCAUCCCUUAGUCACUCAACUUAUUUUUGUCUACUAAGAUAAGAAACUUUUCAAAAUCAUCAACUUUUAUCCAUUCAACUUAUUUUGUCAAUUUUUAGGUAAUGAUUUUAACUCAUUGCUCGCCUUUGUGCUUCUAAGAUGAAGUAUCUUGCAUAUUUUGGAGAAAGCAAAUAAGAAUAAAGUAUGUUGCUAAAUCUGGUCCCAAUAAACAAAUAUUUACUCAUAACAAUCUCACACAUAAGAAUUAUGUUAUCAUUAAAAGAUGAAUACGAAUGUUUUGUACUUAGCCUUUGCCAAGUUAUAUAACUUAAUUAAUUAAUUUAUAAGUCCAGACUUUACAAAGAAAAAUCAAGUGAAGUUAAUAAACACAAACUUAAGCAUCAUCAUUGGGUUGAUGCUCUUUUGGGUGUCUCGUCAAAGCUUGAUUAGUAAUGAUUGGAUCUCAUUCAUUAUUCACAUGUCAUCUUGAAACAAAGCUUUGUAAACAGAAUUAGAACCACCACCCCGUUCAUCUUUCUUGUCUCCUCCGCCGCCUAUCAUCGGAGUCUCACAAACCACGCUAUAACCAGCCCUCCGUUGUUUCUUCCUUUUGGAUUCUUUAUUAGAUACGGGUCUAACCUUGGUUGUUUGUAAUGGCUUCGGAGCCCAAACCCUCUGCAAAUCGGGCAUUCGGCCUGUGAAUACGAACCUUUUAGCCCUCUCUCUCCUCUCACGAGCCUCAAUUAACUUUUGUUCAUCAUCCUUUUCUGUCUCUCCUAAAUCCAAGUUGUCAAGCGGAGGAUGCGA